rnacentral:lncRNA from 1 species
CCGGCACCCGCGCAACGGAGGAGGGGCGCUGUGCCCUCUCCCCAACGGCGGUCAGCUUGGAACGCCUGCCCGGCGCACGCCCGGGGCCGGGGAGCCGAACUCGGUGCCAGCCGCACCCGGGCGGGUUGCUGGUGCGCCCUCCCCUCGCCCCCGUCCCUGGGGUCCUUGACCCAGGCUCUUGGGGCUAGCCUAUCUUCUGAGGAGCACAAGGUCCCUGGGGGCUCAGGGAAGAGAAAUUGGAGAAAGGGGGAGGAAGCCCCCAAGAUGGAUCACCCAUUGCCUGGUUUCGCAGGAGACUGUCCGCCUUCAGUUCUCCAGCAGCUCGGGGAUCAUGGCCCACUGAACCCCCAAGCGCUUUCACCCGAACCCAAGGAGGACGACCAGGAAAGACGGGAACUCGCGUAGACACGCCCGGAAGCCCUUGUCAUGUAAAUAGCUGUCGGGGACUGGUGUAUUGUCGCCGCCCCAGCCGGCGGGACCUGGGGCGAAUCCACACCCAUUGUCUGCUGCCCAAGGGGCCUCCGGCUGGGGGGCGCGGCUGCGGAGUUCAAAAGGGGUAUGAGCAGGAGGGGUGUACUUUUAGUUCAUUAAGUUUUAAUUACAGGAGUGCUACAAGAACACAUUCUUCAGGUUUAAAAAGAUAUUAAAAUAUUACAUAAGAGACCUCCCCUCCCUGGCCCACCUCCAGCCUCUUAAAAAUUUAGUGUGUCGCCUUUUAGACACUUUCUCAAAGCUUCACUUAUUUAACAGGCACUUAAGGAGCACCUACCUGUGCCAGAAACUCUCCAAAUAUUAACUCAACCUGACACCGACUCAGUGUGGCCGAAUAUUACUCUCCCCAUUUUACAGAGCGGGCAGCUGGUCAAGGAAGUCGCUUGUUGAAAGUCACACAGUGGUGGAGCCUGUGUGCCAACCCAGGACCCUGGGGAGCUGCCUCCCCCUCUCCCACGUAGUCCUGAUUCUUUAAGUGUCCACAUAUUCCUGUAAUGCCUGGAGUUUCAGUAAUUAGCAGGGACUUAGUGUGUUCAGAGAAAAAAAAAGCUUUUAAAAAUUAUUGUUACUGUGUUUGUAACAGUUUGGAUAGAGAAGGAAAAGCUGGAAUUUGGGAAGUGAAGGUGGCCUCGGGGUAGAACUUACCUAGACCAGAGCGAAUUCAUCCUGAAGAACUCAGAGAAAGCCGGUGCAGGAAGUGGGUUCCCGCUCUCCCUGCACAGGCACAGUGAUGCUGCCAGAGCUCUCCCAGAAAGACCAGGAGGCUUGUUCUGGAGAAGUCAAGCCCAGGGAUGUGGCUCAGGCUGGUCCAAGCUCUUUGGAGGAGUCCAAGCGUGCCCAGCCCAGAGGGAGGUUCAGAGGCACUGACCGUCUUCUGUUUGGGAGGAGAAGCUCACUCUUGGAGCCACAGCCAGCACUAGGUCAGGACCCAGGCCCCGGCCCAGGAGUGGGGCAAUACCCAGCGUCUACCCCAGAUGGCACCCUGCUGUGAACUGGGCGCCCUCAGCCCCUGCCUUGAGGAAGGGGCAAUACCACCAGCGUGUCUUUUAUCAGGGAAGAUAUUGCUGCAGUUUGGCCGCUGCAACUUAAGAGAAAAGCUAAGGGGUCCCCCAGCAUCCCUUGGGGUGCCACUGCAAAUACUGGCUGGGCCUGGAGAUGACCUGGGUCCCAUUCACUUCCUAGGGUGAAGGAGGUCAUCAUUACCACCCCUGCUUUCAGCCAUUUCUUCAUUCAUUCAAUCAACAAACUGGCUGAGCUGCAACCCUGAGCCGGGGAAUUCAGCCACUCCAGACACAGCCCCUGCCCUCCGGGAAGUCUCGGGAGACCUGGCUAGUCUGGCUGGGAGAAGUCACACGUUGAUUGUCUUGGAAGUGAGAUGGCAUUUACACAAUGGAGGCUGCACUGCCAGCAGGCAAAAAUAACCAGUUAAUUCAGUGGCUUAAAGAAACCAAACCUACCCACAACGCUUGACCUCCCAUUGAUCCAUCUGCGACACCGGCAGUGGCUACCAUUUAUUGAGUGCUGAUGGUGUCACCUGGGAUUGACUUAGUGGUCUCUGGCGCUAGUUCCGAAGUUGAUUCUGUCUGGAGAGCUUAAUGCAGUGUUCAGACCUCAGGGUCCGAACCUGAGGGUCACCCAAAGAUGAGUGGGACAUAGCUGUGUGACCUCGGCUGAGUGCUUUCACCUCUCCAACCUCAGUUUCCUCUUCUGCAAAAUGGGGUGGCUUCAUGGCACCUUCACGUGGUGUGAUUGCGAGGAAUGAAGGGAUCGAUGCCUUGCAAGUAGAGGAGAAGGGGCCGGAUACAUCUUAGUUGUUAUGUUAUUUAAUCAUCUUGGCAACCCCGGGAGGGAGGAACCACUAUCAUUUUAUUUUCCAUUUUGCAGUUGAGGACAAUGAUGAUUCCAGCACAGACAGGGCCCCUGACGGGGCAGUAGGAAAGGAGAAUUGCUUUGGAAGGAGCAUAGGCUGGACUGCCAGCACUCAUAGGAGGCUUCGUGUGUGCCCAGGACUGCGAGAAUUAAAUACAGGACACCCAGUUCAGUUUGAAUUUCAGAUAAACUAUGAAUAAUGAUUAGUGGUCUGGUCUAGGGACAAAUGCUGAGACGUCUGCAAGGCCAUCUAGAACGCCAGGAAGGCACUGUGGGAACCCAGAGGAACAGGGCACGACGGUGCCCAACAGUCCCAGGAAAACACUCUGUGCCCUUCACCUACAUCUCCAUGCCAGGGUUGGAGACAGGGUCCUGUCCCAUCUGCACAUGGAGCCCUCCGGACGGGUGAAUCUGUCGUCAGUUUGGGGCUUGGGAAUCGGUGUCCAAGAGCUGGCUUCAAAGGCAAUGAAACUGGCAUUGCAUCUUUGAAGGCAGCACAGGCUACAUCUGUCUUAUUCUCCGUGUCCACAGCCCCUAGCAGUGACUGGCAUGUGGUCACGCCCAAUAAAUAUUUGCUGAAUGAAUGAACGCAAAACAAUUUGCAAUGUGGACUAGUCCCUUAAAGUAUGUGUAUCUGCAACCGGUAAGUCUACCACAUAUCUUAAGGAAAUAAUCAGAGAAGUGAACAGUUUUAAGGAGAAGAACGUUGAUCCUAUCUUCAUUCGUAAAAGCAAAAGUGCAAUGAAAUUAAAAACAAAUAGAAGAUGCGUAAAUAAAAGGCAGUGAUCAUAAAACUGUUCAAAACCUUGUUUUCAAAAAUUAUCUGAUGAUAUAAAGUCCCAUAUAAACUAAAUUUAAAAAUAGGCU